UCCCUGGUGGCUCAGAGGGUAAAGCGUCUGCCUACAAUGCGGGAGACCCGGGUUCAAUCCCUGAAUUGGGAA
rnacentral:tRNA from 1 species